rnacentral:rRNA from 1 species
AUACGGAGGGUGCAAGCGUUGUCCGGAUUUAUUGGGUUUAAAGGGUGUGUAGGCGGUGUAUUAAGUCAGUGGUGAAAGCCUGCGGCUCAACCGUAGAACUGCCAUUGAUACUGACACACUUGAGUAUGGACGAGGUAGGCGGAAUUUAUGGUGUAGCGGUGAAAUACAUAGAUACCAUAAAGAACACCGAUAGCGAAGGCAGAUUACUAGGCCAUAACUGACGCUGAGGCACGAAAGCGUGGGAGCGAACAGGAUUAGAAACCCCAGUAGUCC